AGAGUUUGAUCAUGGCUCAGAUUGAACGCUGGCGGCAUGCCUUACACAUGCAAGUCGAACGGCAGCACGGGAGCAAUCCUGGUGGCGAGUGGCGAACGGGUGAGUAAUACAUCGGAACGUGUCCUGUAGUGGGGGAUAGCCCGGCGAAAGCCGGAUUAAUACCGCAUACGCUCUACGGAGGAAAGGGGGGGAUCGCAAGACCUCUCGUUAUAGGGGCGGCCGAUGGCAGAUUAGCUAGUUGGUGGGGUAAAGGCCUACCAAGGCGACGAUCUGUAGCUGGUCUGAGAGGACGACCAGCCACACUGGGACUGAGACACGGCCCAGACUCCUACGGGAGGCAGCAGUGGGGAAUUUUGGACAAUGGGCGCAAGCCUGAUCCAGCAAUGCCGCGUGUGUGAAGAAGGCCUUCGGGUUGUAAAGCACUUUUGUCCGGAAAGAAAUCCUUUGGGCUAAUACCCUGAGGGGAUGACGGUACCGGAAGAAUAAGCACCGGCUAACUACGUGCCAGCAGCCGCGGUAAUACGUAGGGUGCAAGCGUUAAUCGGAAUUACUGGGCGUAAAGCGUGCGCAGGCGGUCCGCUAAGACAGAUGUGAAAUCCCCGGGCUUAACCUGGGAACUGCAUUUGUGACUGGCGGGCUAGAGUAUGGCAGAGGGGGGUAGAAUUCCACGUAGCAGUGAAAUGCGUAGAGAUGUGGAGGAAUACCGAUGGCGAAGGCAGCCCCCUGGGCCAAUACUGACGCUCAUGCACGAAAGCGUGGGGAGCAAACAGGAUUAGAUACCCCAGUAGUCC
rnacentral:rRNA from 1 species